rnacentral:rRNA from 1 species
AGAGUUUGAUCAUGGCUCAGAACGAACGCUGGCGGCAUGCCUAACACAUGCAAGUCGAACGAAGGCUUCGGCCUUAGUGGCGCACGGGUGAGUAACACGUGGGAACCUGCCUCUUUGUUCGGAAUAACUGCGGGAAACUGCAGCUAAUACCGGAUACGCCCUACGGGGGAAAGAUUUAUCGCAGAGAGAGGGGCCCGCGUCCGAUUAGGUAGUUGGUGGGGUAAAGGCCUACCAAGCCGACGAUCGGUAGCUGGUCUGAGAGGAUGAUCAGCCACACUGGGACUGAGACACGGCCCAGACUCCUACGGGAGGCAGCAGUGGGGAAUAUUGGACAAUGGGCGGAAGCCUGAUCCAGCAAUGCCGCGUGAAUGAUGAAGGCCUUAGGGUUGUAAAGUUCUUUCGUCGGGGACGAUGAUGACGGUACCCGAAGAAGAAGCCCCGGCUAACUUCGUGCCAGCAGCCGCGGUAAUACGAAGGGGGCUAGCGUUGUUCGGAAUUACUGGGCGUAAAGGGCGCGUAGGCGGCCAAUCAAGUUAGGCGUGAAAGCCCCGGGCUCAACCUGGGAAUUGCGCUUGAUACUGUAUGGCUUGAGUUCGGGAGAGGUGAGUGGAAUUCCCAGUGUAGAGGUGAAAUUCGUAGAUAUUGGGAAGAACACCAGUGGCGAAGGCGGCUCACUGGACCGACACUGACGCUGAGGCGCGAAAGCGUGGGGAGCAAACAGGAUUAGAUACCCUAGUAGUCC